GACGAACGCUGGCGGCGUGCUUAACACAUGCAAGUCGAACGCUGAAGCUCAGCUUUUGUUGGGUGGAUGAGUGGCGAACGGGUGAGUAACACGUGAGUAACCUGCCCCCUUCUUUGGGAUAACGCCCGGAAACGGGUGCUAAUACUGGAUAUUCACUGGUCUUCGCAUGGGGGUUGGUGGAAAGGGUUUUUCUGGUGGUGGAUGGGCUCGCGGCCUAUCAGCUUGUUGGUGGGGUGAUGGCCUACCAAGGCUUUGACGGGUAGCCGGCCUGAGAGGGUGACCGGUCACAUUGGGACUGAGAUACGGCCCAGACUCCUACGGGAGGCAGCAGUGGGGAAUAUUGCACAAUGGGCGCAAGCCUGAUGCAGCGACGCCGCGUGAGGGAUGGAGGCCUUCGGGUUGUGAACCUCUUUCGCUCAUGGUCAAGCCGCAACAAUGGUUGUGGUGAGGGUAGUGGGUAAAGAAGCGCCGGCUAACUACGUG
rnacentral:rRNA from 1 species